UACAGAGGUCUCAAGCGUUGUUCGGAAUCACUGGGCGUAAAGGGUUUGUAGGUGGCCUGCUAAGUCAGACGUGAAAUCCCUCAGCUUAACUGGGGAACUGCGUCUGAGACUGGUGGGCUCGAGGACAGGAGAGGAACGCGGAAUUCCAGGUGUAGCGGUGAAAUGCGUAGAUAUCUGGAGGAACACCGGUGGCGAAGGCGGCGUUCUGGACUGUUUCUGACACUGAAAAACGAAAGCCAGGGGAGCAAACGGG
rnacentral:rRNA from 1 species